CAGCCGCCACGGUAAUACGUAGGUGGCAAGCGUUGUCCGGAAUUAUUGGGCGUAAAGGGCUCGCAGGCGGUUUCUUAAGUCUGAUGUGAAAGCCCCCGGCUCAACCGGGGAGGGUCAUUGGAAACUGGGAAACUUGAGUGCAGAAGAGGAGAGUGGAAUUCCACGUGUAGCGGUGAAAUGCGUAGAGAUGUGGAGGAACACCAGUGGCGAAGGCGACUCUCUGGUCUGUAACUGACGCUGAGGAGCGAAAGCGUGGGGAGCGAACAGGAUUAGAUACCCCUGUAGUCCCUGUCUCUUAUAA
rnacentral:rRNA from 1 species